ACCGUCUGUAUGUCUGUGUAUAAGGCUUUCAUGCUUGUCAAUGCAUGCAAAUUUGUCUGUUAAUCUUUAAUUUUGUUUUUGUAUUUUAUGAUUUUUCUCAUAUAUUUUUGCAUUUAGAAAUGGCAGUGGCCCUGGCAUCCUUGGACAUCACAAGGAAAGGAUAGCAUCUCUUGGCAGUGCGUUGUCGGAUGGGGAAUGAAGGAGAGAAAUGGCAGUGGCCAUUGCAUCCUUGGACAUCACAAGGAAAGGAUAGCAUCCCUUGGCAGUGCGUUGUCGGAGGGGGAAUGAAGGAGAGAAAUGACAGUGGUCAUUGCAUCCUUGGACAUGACAAGGAAAGGGCAGCAACUCUUGGCAGUGCGUUGUCUGAGCGUUAAUGAAAGAGAGAAAUGGCAGUGGCCCUGGCAUCCUUGGACAUCACAAGGAAAGGAUAGCAUCUCUUGGCAGUGCGUUGUCGGAUGGGGAAUGAAUUAGAGAAAUGGCAGUGGCCCUGGUAUCCUUGGACAUCACAAGGAAAGGGCAGCAACUCUUGGCAGUGCGUUGUCUGAGCGGGAAUGAAAGAGAGAAAUGACAGUGGUCAUUGCAUCCUUGGACAUGACAAGGAAAGGGCAGCAACUCUUGGCAGUGCGUUGUCUGAGCGUUAAUGAAAGAGAGAAAUGGCAGUGGCCCUGGCAUCCUUGGACAUCACAAGGAAAGGAUAGCAUUUCUUGGCAGUGCGUUGUCGGAUGGGGAAUGAAGGAGAGAAAUGGCAGUGGCCCUGGCAUCCUUGGACAUGACAAAGGAA
rnacentral:lncRNA from 1 species